AGCUUUGCGCAGUGGCGAUAUCGUAACCAAUGAGGUUCUACCGAGGUGCGAUUAUUGCUAGUUGAAUUCAAAAACAUGAUAAGAUGAAGGGGGAGGGGGGGGGUUAUUAUCAGCGUUACGUAAUUUUCAGAGGGGGGUACGUC